rnacentral:rRNA from 1 species
UACGUAGGGUGCAAGCGUUAUCCGGAAUUAUUGGGCGUAAAGAGCUCGUAGGCGGUUUGUCGCGUCUGCCGUGAAAGUCCGGGGCUUAACUCCGGAUCUGCGGUGGGUACGGGCAGACUAGAGUGCAGUAGGGGAGACUGGAAUUCCUGGUGUAGCGGUGAAAUGCGCAGAUAUCAGGAGGAACACCGAUGGCGAAGGCAGGUCUCUGGGCUGUAACUGACGCUGAGGAGCGAAAGCAUGGGGAGCAAACAGG